rnacentral:rRNA from 1 species
GAUGAACGCUGGCGGCGUGCCUAAUACAUGCAAGUCGAGCGGACCAAAGAGAGCUUGCUCUCUGAGGUUAGCGGCGGACGGGUGAGUAACACGUGGGUAGCCUGCCUGUAAGACGGGGAUAACUUCGGGAAACCGAAGCUAAUACCGGAUGAUAAAGAGAAACGCCUGUUUCUUGUUUGAAAGUCGGCCUUGUGCUGACGCUUACAGACGGGCCCGCGGCGCAUUAGCUAGUUGGUGAGGUAACGGCUCACCAAGGCGACGAUGCGUAGCCGACCUGAGAGGGUGAUCGGCCACACUGGGACUGAGACACGGCCCAGACUCCUACGGGAGGCAGCAGUAGGGAAUCUUCGGCAAUGGACGAAAGUCUGACCGAGCAACGCCGCGUGAGCGAUGAAGGCCUUCGGGUCGUAAAGCUCUGUUGUCAGAGAAGAACAAGUACCGGAGUAACUGCCGGUACCUUGACGGUACCUGACCAGAAAGCCACGGCUAACUACGUGCCAGCAGCCGCGGUAA